GACGAACGCUGGCGGCGCGCCUAACACAUGCAAGUCGAACGAGCGAGAGAGAGCUUGCUUUCUCAAGCGAGUGGCGAACGGGUGAGUAACGCGUGAGGAACCUGCCUCAAAGAGGGGGACAACAGUUGGAAACGACUGCUAAUACCGCAUAAGCCCACGACCCGGCAUCGGGUCGAGGGAAAAGGAGCAAUCCGCUUUGAGAUGGCCUCGCGUCCGAUUAGCUAGUUGGUGAGGUAACGGCCCACCAAGGCGACGAUCGGUAGCCGGACUGAGAGGUUGAACGGCCACAUUGGGACUGAGACACGGCCCAGACUCCUACGGGAGGCAGCAGUGGGGAAUAUUGCACAAUGGGGGAAACCCUGAUGCAGCGACGCCGCGUGGAGGAAGAAGGUCUUCGGAUUGUAAACUCCUGUUGUUGAGGAAGAUAAUGACGGUACUCAACAAGGAAGUGACGGCUAACUACGUG
rnacentral:rRNA from 1 species